rnacentral:snoRNA from 1 species
CUGUAUGAUGAUGCUGCAAAGACUGAUUCAAUCAUGAUGGUCUUAUUAGCUCUACCUGAUC